rnacentral:miRNA from 1 species
UCGAUUGGUGCAGGCCGGGAA